GUGGGGAAUCUUAGACAAUGGGCGCAAGCCUGAUCUAGCCAUGCCGCGUGAGCGAUGAAGGCCUUAGGGUUGUAAAGCUCUUUCAGGGGGGAAGAUAAUGACGGUACCCCCAGAAGAAGCCCCGGCUAACUCCGUGCCAGCAGCCGCGGUAAUACGGAGGGGGCUAGCGUUGUUCGGAAUUACUGGGCGUAAAGCGCACGUAGGCGGACCGGAAAGUCAGAGGUGAAAUCCCAGGGCUCAACCUUGGAACUGCCUUUGAAACUCCUGGUCUUGAGGUCGAGAGAGGUGAGUGGAAUUCCGAGUGUAGAGGUGAAAUUCGUAGAUAUUCGGAGGAACACCAGUGGCGAAGGCGGCUCACUGGCUCGAUACUGACGCUGAGGUGCGAAAGCGUGGGGAGCAAACAGGAUUAGAUACCCGAGUAGUCC
rnacentral:rRNA from 1 species